rnacentral:rRNA from 1 species
AAAAGAUCGAAUGGGGAGAUUCAUCGUCAGCGUGGCUGGCUUCCGUGCGGUUCGCGAUGGCCGGGACCUCGGUCCCGUGUCACGCGUCCGCCGCGGUAUGCCCGGCUGCGUCGGCGUGCACUUCUCCCCUAGUAGGACGUCGCGACCCGUUGGGUGUCGGACCGAUGGCCGUUUGGUCGCCUGUCUCGUCGCGUUUACGCGUGCACGUGGCAGACCGAAAUGGUCGAGCGUCCGGCUGCCCGGCGGUAUAGAACGCUAUUGAACGGUAAUGAGCCGCAUUAAGUGCGUUCAGGCUCGUCGGCAGGCUCGUCUCGCCCGGAUUUACGGACCUAGCGCCGUUGCCGGGUGCUUGGCGUGGCUGUUAGUCGGCGAUGUCCUCGGACUGGCUCUAAAAUUCGAAAGGAUUACCGGUCGGCGACGCU